rnacentral:lncRNA from 1 species
ACCCAUCCAUUAAUGGCUCAUGUGUUCUUAAGACAAACCCAGCAGGCUGUAUCUGUCUAGAGUGAAACCAGAGCUUCUGCCUGCAUGGAACAAGAGCAAGAGAAAGGCCUAGGAGACUGACCUGCUUAUCCAUGCUACUUAUCAGGAACUGUGGAACCCUGGAGAACAUGACCCUGGCCCCCCCUUCAGGAUCUGGCUGAGAUCUGGCUGCCUCUUGAGACACUAGAGCCCUGGAUUCAAUUGCGGAACAUUAUGUUGGAGAAUAUGAACACUUCUAGACUGUGCCGACAUUUGGGAAGGAAUAGUCUGUUUUGACUUGAAUGAACAAAGACAUACGUCUCUGGGCCUGGGGAAGGCUUACCAGCUCAGCUCAUCUACUGUCUGGUGGCAAACAUGUCCCCUGCUGCCCCUACCCAGGACACUCUUCCUCACUCUGUCCCUGUCCAGUUACCGCACCCUUCCCUGUCUGACCCCACCUCAUGUGCCCACUCACCUCUGGACCCAGAGAUUCUUCUUGUUUGCUCUAUCAUCCUUGAGCCGGAUACAGGGUGAAUAGUUAACCACAUUUGGGUUGAAUGGGAUCUUGAUUCUUAUUUCUGUUCCUUGGAAAGAGGGGUCAGUCUCGGUGCGUGGCACCCGGCCUGGAAGCAGCACAAGACUCCAGAGUGAUACAUGAUCUGCCUGGAUGGUCCCGUGGGCUCUUUGGAGGUCAGAGCAAGAGGAGCAGCCUGAGCAGGGGGGCUGAGGAGGGCCGGCACUGGAUCACACGCAGGCGUAUGUCUGGAUAGGCAGAGAGGAACCCACUUUUCAUUCCCUCUUCUGUGACACAAAUGCAAGGAACUUUGAAGACUCUCUUCAGAGGUUGCAGUCGGAGAUCAGCUUACCCAAGGGCUUCAUGUCUGAGCUCUGUUGGUCGUGCCUCCUGAGGACCUCUUUCCUCUACUGUAUGCUGAUGACACACCCAUCCGCUGGGAGCUGGAGUCUUGUCUGGUCCUUUCCUCUAUGACCCCACUUGUACUGUUGGAAAUCCUUCCUAAUCAUGCCUUGAUUCCCCCUUUUCGACUACACUCAAAGAUGUUUGAGCUGUUUUAUUUGCAAAAUGGAUGGACAGUUUGUUUAUAUAAAACAAUCCCAGCUUCCUUGUGCUCUAUCUGGUGUGUUUGUAUGGCUCUUCAGUGACUUUAAAGUGGAGCAUUGACCUUGGCCUCUUUGAUUCUCCAUGGUGGAAUAGAGAAGACCUCUUGAGGAUGCUUAAUGUUGCUGAGAUCUUAAGAAGGCUUGCAGACUUCCUCUCCCACCUCCUUCCUCCCUAAGCAGCCUCUGCAUUGAAUAAAUUCCUUUCUAUAAAUUCCUCUG